CACGUAGGGUGCGAGCGUUGUCCGGAAUUAUUGGGCGUAAAGAGCUCGUAGGCGGUUUGUCGCGUCGGGAGUGAAAACUCAGGGCUCAACCCUGAGCGUGCUUCCGAUACGGGCAGACUAGAGGUAUGCAGGGGAGAACGGAAUUCCUGGUGUAGCGGUGGAAUGCGUAGAUAUCGAGAGGAACACCAGUGGCGAAGGCGAGUCUCUAGACGAUUCCUGACGCUGAGGCACGAAAGCUAGGGGAGCAAACAGG
rnacentral:rRNA from 1 species